AAAGAAAGCGUAAUAGCUCACUGGUCGAGUCGGCCUGCGCGGAAGAUGUAACGGGGCUAAACCAUGCACCGAAGCUGCGGCAGCGACGCUGAUGCGUUGUUGGGUAGGGGAGCGUUCUGUAAGCCUGUGAAGGUGUGUCGUGAGGCAUGCUGGAGGUAUCAGAAGUGCGAAUGCUGACAUAAGUAACGAUAAAGCGGGUGAAAAGCCCGCUCGCCGGAAGACCAAGGGUUCCUGUCCAACGUUAAUCGGGGCAGGGUGAGUCGACCCCUAAGGC
rnacentral:rRNA from 1 species